GUGCCAGCCGCCGCGGUAAUACGUAGGUCCCAAGCGUUGUCCGGAUUUAUUGGGCGUAAAGCGAGCGCAGGUGGUUUCUUAAGUCUGAUGUAAAAGGCAGUGGCUCAACCAUUGUGUGCAUUGGAAACUGGGAGACUUGAGUGCAGGAGAGGAGAGUGGGAAUUCCCAUGUGUAGCGGUGAAAUGCGUAGAUAUAUGGAGGAACACCGGAGGCGAAAGCGGCUCUCUGGCCUGUAACUGACACUGAGGCUCGAAAGCGUGGGGAGCAAACAGGAUUAGAUACCCUGGUAGUCCACGCCGUAAACGAUGAGUGCUAGCUGUAGGGAGCUAUAAGUUCUCUGUAGCGCAGCUAACGCAUUAAGCACUCCGCCUGGGGAGUACGACCGCAAGGUUGAAACUCAAAGGAAUUGACGGGGCCCGCACAAGCGGUGGAGCAUGUGGUUAAUUCGAAGCAACGCGAAGAACCUACCAGGUCUUGACAUACUCGUGCUAUCCUUAGAGAUAAGGAGUUCCUUACGGG
rnacentral:rRNA from 1 species